ensembl:miRNA
AGCAAAGAAGUGUGUUGCCCUCCAGGAAAUGUGUGUUGCUCUGAUAUAAUUAGGUUGACAUACGUUUCCCUGGUAGCCA